rnacentral:piRNA from 1 species
CUGUAUGCUUUCAAACGGGCUA